UACGAAGGGGGCUAGCGUUGCUCGGAAUCACUGGGCGUAAAGGGUGCGUAGGCGGGUCUUUAAGUCAGGGGUGAAAUCCUGGAGCUCAACUCCAGAACUGCCUUUGAUACUGGCUGUCUUGAGUAUGGGAGAGGUGAGUGGAACUCCGAGUGUAGAGGUGAAAUUCGUAGAUAUUCGGAAGAACACCAGUGGCGAAGGCGACUCACUGGCCCAUUACUGACGCUGAGGCGCGAAAGCGUGGGGAGCAAACAGG
rnacentral:rRNA from 1 species